UAGGACUCCAAAGCUGGUGGUUUCCGAUAGUGGGGGAGGACAAACUGAUUCAUUAAAGGUCUGCAAUAAAGAGGUUUAACAACCUGACAGUGUAGCACAGAUUAAAUGCUAUUUGUCUUAUACUCUUGCCAAGAUUGGAACCAUUGCUUUCUGAAUGCCUGAACAAUCUAUUGUAGCCACAUUACAUCUCUCCACUCAUAUUUCUCUUCCACAUAAUUCAUGGCAAAUUUCCAUUUUUCUAUUACCUUUUUAUUAAAUCAAUCUGUUAGAUUACGUUAUCUCCCCAGCUAUGUACUAACACUGCCUUAGUGUAUCUUCUUACAUGAUUGAAUAACUACGGGAAAGUCACUGGUAUGAAAUACAGGUUUUUGUUUAAUAUGAUAAAAGGAAGCAGAAAGGUCACCAAAGUACCUUAUUUGCUAGUCAUUUCAACUAACUGAUGUGCUCCAAUUGUGUGACCUUGUUAAAGGUCAUCAAUAUAGAAAUGGAUUUGGAUUUGAAUUGGAAAUGAGUUUACCAUAAGUGCAUAAUCAUUAGCUAUUGGUUCGUAUAGUAUACUUCUAACAAGGAUGUACAACGUGAAACAGAAUAUCACUGUCUACAAAAAUGAAAUCACCACUUGUUUUAUUUAUAGAAGGGCGGACUGUUAUUUCCCUAGAUUUGUAAUGUUAUGAGGGUAAUUUACUAACAUAAGAAUUCCGAGUGAAUUCAAAAUGAAUUUCAAAUUUAAAGCCAGAGUAACUGAAUUGAAAUCGUAG